rnacentral:rRNA from 1 species
UACGAGGGGGGCAAGCGUUGUUCGGAAUUAUUGGGCGUAAAGGGCGCGUAGGCGGUUUGACAAGUCUGAUGUGAAAUCUCUGGGCUCAACCCAGAGUCUGCAUUAGAAACUGUCGGGCUUGAGUAUGGGAGAGGUGAGUGGAAUUUCCGGUGUAGCGGUGAAAUGCGUAGAUAUCGGAAGGAACACCAGUGGCGAAGGCGGCCUUCUGGACCAAUACUGACGCUCAUGCACGAAAGCGUGGGGAGCAAACAGG